UCCUCUUUUCUGCCAAUCAAGCAAAGAUGAGGACAACACCCAAACUGGCACGAUAACAGCGCCGUAUAAGAAGAGGACCCAAUUGUUCCAAAAGGCCCUGAUUUUGCUCCGCCGCGGUCCGCGCGGAGGCUGCCGCAGCUGUGGACAGCAACAGGUGUUUUACCUACCAUGGUUGUGAUAAUUGGAUUUUCUGGACACCUGUAUGAGUGCAGUAUAUCCAGCGGAUUAUAACCAGGGAGAGGGGUAGGCUGCCCGGCCGGCCAGGCCCAGCCAGCAGGAACUUCCCAUGGCCACCUCCGCUCUGCUCCGAGGGACUGAGAAUACGUAAUGAGUUGCAGGGCUCCACAUUUACCACGGCUGAUCAGCUGAGAACAAUGAACUCGCGGGCACACAAUAGUGACUAGAGAGCCUCAAGGCAUUGUCUCUGUAUUUUUAGAAGGGGGAGAAAACGAGAGAGCCAGAGAAAGAGGAGAAUGGAGGGGAGAAAAGUG
rnacentral:lncRNA from 1 species